GAUGAAGAACGCAGCAAAAUGCGAUAAGUAAUGUGAAUUGCAGAAUUCAGUGAAUCAUCGAAUCUUUGAACGCACAUUGCGCCCGCUGGUAUUCCGGCGGGCAUGCCUGUUCGAGCGUCAUUUCAACCCUCAAGCCCCCGGGUUUGGUGUUGGGGAUCGGCUCUGCCCUUCUGGGCGGUGCCGCCCCCGAAAUACAUUGGCAGUCUCGCUGCAGCCUCCAUUGCGUAGUAGCUAACACCUCGCAACUGGAACGCGGCGCGGCCAUGCCGUAAAACCCCAACUUCUGAAUGUUGACCUCGGAUCAGGUAGGAAUACCCGCUGAACUUAAGCAUAUCAAUAAGCGGAGGA
rnacentral:misc_RNA from 1 species